CAGCCACUAGUACAGUUCAGGCCUUAGGUAUCAGAGGGAGCGCACAGAAAGAGCAGGAGAUGAGGAAGAGGACAAGAUGACACAGGAGAGGUGAUUGAUGCCCGGUGAGAAGGUGAAAGUGACCAAUACCCCUGUCAACUGUAGGAAAGGAACCAAGAGACAGGUGAUUGAUGCCCGUUGAGAGGGUGAAAGGGACCUAUACCCCCGUCAUCUGCAGGAAAGGAACAAAGAGACAGGUGAUUGAUUCCCGGUGAGAGGGUGAAAGGGACCUAUACCCCCGUCAGCUGCAGGAAAGGAACAAAGAGACAGGUGAUUGAUGCCAGGUGAGAGGGUGAAAGGGACCUAUACCCCCGUCAGCUGCAGGAAAGGAACAAAGAGACAGGUGAUUGAUGCCAGGUGAGAGGGUGAAAGGGACCUAUACCCCCGUCAGCUGCAGGAAAGGAACAAAGAGACAGGUGAUUGAUGCCCGGUGAGAGGGUGAAAGGGACCUAUACCCCCGUCAGCUGCAGGAAAGGAACAAAGAGACAGG